rfam:Brachypodium distachyon strain Bd21 chromosome 1, whole genome shotgun sequence.
AUGAUAUUCCCUCCGUCCAACAAAAAAUGUCUCAAGUUUGUCAAAAUUUGAAUGUAUCUAGACAUGACUUAAUAUAUAGAUGCAUUCAAAUUUAGUCAAAGUUGAUACAUCCUUUGUUGGACGGAGCGAGUAUGUU